CGAUUAUUUUAGAAAGUACUGCUGUAUUUUUUCACAUAAAGGUGAUAUUAUGAACUGAAUAUUUGUGUCCCUUCAAAAUUUUUAUGUUGAAGCCCUUAUCCCCAGUGUGGCUGUAUUUGGAAAUGAGGCCUUUAUCAAAGUAAUUAUAGUUAAAUGAAGUCAUAAGGAUAGAACCGUGAUGGGGGGGGCAAUAAAAGGAUAGAACCCUGAUCUAAUAAGAUUAGUUUCCUUGUAAGAGCUCUCUUCCUUCUCCUUUUUACCUUCUGCCCCCACCCCCACAUUUUCUUCUCUCUCCCCACAGCCUUCUCUCCCUACCGUGUGAGGACACAGCAAGAGGGUUGUUAUCUGCAAGCCAGGAAGGCAGCCUUCUCUAGAAACCGUACCCUGCCAGACCUUGAUCUUGGACUUCCCAGCCUCCAGAACUAGAAGGCGAUGUGAAGAUGGAAGCAGAGACUGGAGUGAUGCCACCACAAGCCAAGGAAUGCUGUCAGUCACCAGACACUAGUGGAGGCCCCCUAUUGGAUGAAAGGAGUGGAGGGAAGGUGGACAUGAUAACAGUAUUGUCCAGAGUGCUCGCAAUCAGGAGUGGGGCAUAGGUGUGGACAGAGGGGGAGAGAGAGAGAGAACCUCAAGGAGACUCUGCUGAGCGCGGGGCUCAAUCUCACAACCCUGAGAUCAUGACCUGAGCCGAAAUCAAGAGUACACUGCUUGACCGACUGAGCCACCCAGGUACCCCUAUAAGAAAUACUUUUGUAACACCCCUUUAUCUAGCAUGAAAUUCAUAGAUAAGGGAACUGGCCUAUAUAUAUAACUUCAAAAUACAGUUGACCCUUGAACAACAUGGGGCUUGGGGGCACCAAUCCCCCAGCUGAAAAUCUUGUAUAAACUUUGACAGCCCUAAAACUUAACCACUAAUAGCCUACUGUUGACUGGCAGCUUUACCAAUAAUAUACAUAGUCGAUUCAGAUGAAUGGAUAAAGAAGAUAUGGUGUGUAUACACACACACACACACACAUACAAUGGGAUAU